UGGGCGGGGCGGAGGGAGCCGGGAAGCGGAAGCGGCGAGCGCGCCGGGAGCGCAGCUGCGGGCCUGGGGGCGGCAGGAGCCGCGGAGCCGGCCCGGGAGCGGGGCUGCCGGAGCGGGCGGCCGAGACAAUGGCGACGAUAUCUUUGUUAUCUGACAAGAGUCAUCCUAAACAAAAUACAUCAGCCAAGAAAGACGGUUUAAAAAAUGGUGAUAUAAAUGUAGACUUUGAUCAACUGAAACUUGAUGAUAAAGGCUGAUUGAAGGUCUCAUUUGCAGAAAUACCAAGUUUCUGAAAUUUCAAUUUAUGAUUCUUCUACUAAUUACAGACAUGCAUCUCUUGCUUUCCAAAAAAAAGAAAACAGUGAUGUAAAGAUGGCUGUGAAAGGAAUGAUGCCAAAAAGAGUGAAAACUCAGCCCAGAAGAGGGAAGAACAGAUGGACUCAAGAGACAUUUGAGGGGACCAUUCAGUCUAGCCUGGGAGGGAAAAAAAUGAAACUGCAAAGAAAUGUCAAGCACAUGAACACAGCUAGACAACAAUCCAAGGCAAGAUGAAUGUCAGAAGAUUUUGGCAUCCUGGAAAAAACUCACCAUGGACUUUGGUUAUUCAGAAUUAGCUACUUCUGUAAGGCUAUCAUGUAAAAUAAAAUAAUAAUGAUAACAGUGGUAAAGUAUACCUGCCAUCCACUUUCACAAUAAGAUACAUAAGAAGAAUAAGUCAAUAUAGAUUGAAAGGAGAAUACAAUGAAUAAUUCCAUGAAGAAUCCUUGGAAUUACAUAAGCAGCAUAAUAACAGAAAAAUCACAAGAUUGUUGUCAGCUGGGAAGAUGGUGGAGGUAACAGUUUUAAACUGGCCCCUGAACCUCCUAGACAGAGUUACUGGAAGAGAAGCAAACAAAACAAAGCAAAAGGCCCUUGGACAACAUCUACAGUACCAAAAAAAUUAAGUGAUAAGGAGUCCUGUGAAUCCCAAAAUUUGAGCAGUCAGGACAAAUCUGCAAGAGCUACAGUUGCAAUUGGUACUGACAGCUACAGAGGACAAGGAGGGACAUGGCGGGGAAUCUAGGGGAGCUGAGCACAGGAGGACCAACCUCGCGGCUGCAAUGGACAGAGUGAGACACCCUCACGUGAGACGAUUCACAGUAACGCACGGAUCCACGGUAAAGUCCUCAGGAGCUGGAGCACAACAGUCCUCUGGACACCCAAAAUUAGGCAAAGCUCCCUUCCAGGACAAAGCCCCACAUUAUAGAGAAGUGUGAGGAAUUAAAGUAUCAAAUACUACUGGAGUCAGUUAAAAAGACCUUUAGUAUAAGAAAGGGUGGUUCAAGGAAAAAUGGGGGAAAGA